UAGAAGAAUGAAGGAAAUGGAAAAGGAGAGAAAAGAUUUAACGAGGGAAAAUGAGACUGAAAGUAGGCUAAUGGACAAAGAAAAACAAGACGUUAGAAAAAUUGCAUGCUACCUUCAAGAAAUUCUUAAAUGGAACACUGACCAGACUGCUAUGGUAACAUCCUAGUCAUACUAAUCAUACCUUCGUCUGGAAAAUUCUCCAGCUGAACCUGCAAAAUCCUCUAUUCUGUCCAGAUGUCUCUGUAUGUAGUUACAAUCGCUGUAUUCUCACGAUUAUAAGAACAGAAGGUGCACAGAGUCGUGUUCAUGACUAAAUCAGAAAUUCGGAUGCCAACUAGAUCUGAAAGGAAGCGAUGGCAUCCUGAGCCAAAAUGGGAAACACCAGCUGUGUCUGCUGUCUGCCAGCCAUCUUGGAGUAGCUGCCCACUCCUAGAUGUCAUGUCCAGCAUUGGACUGUGACUGGUCCAGUGAGAGUCCCUCCAGAACGGAUGUCAUGCAGAAAUAUUUGUCGCAGGAAUGAGUCACAGGGUGUUAAUAACCACUCAUUAUACACUGAGUGUACAAAACAUUAAGAACACCUUCCUAAUAUUGAGUUGCACCCCCUUUUUCCCGCUUUUUCCCCCAGAACCGCCUGAAUUCGUGGGGGCAUAGACUCUACAAGGUGUCAAAAAUGUUCCACAGGGAUGUUGGCCCAUGUUGACGCCAAUGCUUCCCACAUUUGUGUCAAGUUGGCUGAAUGUCCUUUGAGUGGUGGACCAUUCUUGAUACACACAGAAAACUGUUGAGUGUGAAAAACCCAGCAGCAUUGCAGUUCUUGACACACUUAAACCGGUGCGCCUGCUUGGCACCUACUACUAUACCCCAUUCAUUCACCCUCUGAAUGGCACACAUACACAAUCCAUGUCUCAGGGCUUAAAAAUCCUUCUUUAACCUGUCUCCUUUCCUUCAUCUACACUGAUUGAAGUGGAUUUAACAAGUGACAUCAAUAAGGGAUCAUAGCUUUCACCUGGAUUCACCUGAUCAGACUGUCAUGGAAAGAGCAGGUUUUCCUAAUGUUUUGUCCACUCAGUGUAAAUGGCGGUCAUUUGAAUACGGUCUGAUAUCUCAGUGACAAUGGCAUCAACUGAAACGGUCGCCCCGCAGUUGAAACAUUGGAACACAGAAAUGCAGGACAUUGUAGAAACACUAAGUUUAUCAUUAGAAUCAUUCUCAUCGAUUUAAAAAAAAUGAAAACAUAAAGGAGUUUUAGUCAUUAAAGUAUUGAAUUGCUGAUUAUAGUUUAAUAAGAGAGGUCAUUAGAGAACAUUAGCAUAACUUUUAUGUACAGUGACUGUCUGAGCAACGUAUCAGUAAUAAUUGUUUAUUAUAUGUUUAUUACGUGUAAUUGUUCUGUUACCCAUGUCCUGUUUCUGUUUUGUGUCUAUAGUGUACUACACUGUGUGUGGAGUAUGUUUACAUUAUUUUGUUCAUUGUUGUCAGCACCAUUUCACCAGGUCAAAUUACUGGUACAUGUAAAUGUACUUUGGGAAUAAAGGUUGGGAUAUUACCAUA